UCAAACGGCCAUAUUUGGUUGGUUAUACAGGUUCCCUUAAGAUCAUCGAAAUUAAGCAACAAUCGGCAGAGUCAGUACUUUGUUAGGAGACUCCCUGGGAAAGCGUCGUGCUGUCUUUA
rnacentral:rRNA from 1 species